rnacentral:ribozyme from 1 species
GUCAAGACCAUCUCCUGCCCCUACCCUAAAUCCCACAGCUCAUCCCACAUCUUCUCCAACAUCUGUGUACUCGUGUCCACAAGUCACGUUGAAUUUCAAUGAACUCGCUGCGGGGUCCUAUA